CUCGCACGAGUCAUUUGGUCUGAGUCUCAGCAAGUCUCAAGUCUUUCCUGUUGUGGGCAAGUUGAGUCGAGUCAAGAGGUUAUGUCAAGUCAUUAUUUUAUAUCAGGUCAAGCCGAGUCACAUCAAGUCACAACGCUGUCGAGUCACAGGGAGAUGUCCAUUUAAAGUCUUGUCCUGGGACUGGGAGACGAGACACGCACACUUGUGCGAUCCCAAGAUUACGUCAGGACUCAGGACACCACCCAUAAUCUAGAUAGAACGCGCCUGCCGCAAUACGAUUGGCUGCUGGACACACGGUGCUGCAAUAUGAUUGGCUGCUGCACACUGAUUCCCUGCGGUCAAGAUCUUACCGAGCAGAAGCCCUGAAAUUCACGAGAGCCAGUUCCGCACACCAUGGUCCUGAAGAUGGGAACCGACCCCCAUCGUCGGCGACAGGCACGCAGCGACAGUAGAGUGACGUUGACCUCCUGAAGAGUGUUCGGCAAGGUGUUGUUAUCACCGAUGUCCCCCCAACCGGCGGUGAUGCAGCUGCUCCGUCUUCCCACACGCCGUCUUUUAGGAGCGAUCAGCUGAACCGCAUCGGUCAAUGUGGCGCUGCCGUUGAGCUAAGGAGCAUUAUGUCGUUUUCAUGACCAUCAUACGCAGGAUGCGGGAUGUCUCUAAUCGCGGUAAACACCUGCUUGGUGGACUCAUCGCCUGUCAGGGAGUCUACCCCCAGCACUACAUGUGCUGCUGUCAGGACAAAGUCUUCCUUGACCAGGGACCCUCCACAAAUGUGCUGCCCUUGCACCUGCAGCGAGGCCAUGUACGGUCUCGAGUGUGGUGGAGCGUCUCUGCCUCCAACAAUGUGAGUGCAAUCGGCUCCUGAAAACCCAUGAAACACUUCCUUAAUUAUUUUUUAAGGAGAAAUCUUAACUUUGUCUUAAAAGACAAGCUCACCGUUUAAGAUGAACAAGAGCAGCAGUGUGAUGGCCAUGAUGCUUGUUCGAAUGCACACUUUGCUCUCAGUUUGUUCCUAUUAUUGUGUCCACUAACUUAGAUUGCGGACUAUUGUUGCUUCAGAGGAUUUGCCAACUUGGUGGUAGAGGUUUUGCAAAGUUAUGGAGGGAAAAAAAAGCAGGGUUGCACCAAUUCAACUCAGAAAACCAAAUUCCUUUCAACAUUCCUGUUCAUAAUCAAUUGUUUUCAAUAGCAUGGGUCAUAAGAUACAUGCUUUACAGCUCUGGGAAAGUUAUAUCUGAAAGGUUCAACCAAAUUGUUGUACAAAAAUACAGCCCAAAAGUUUGAAACAUUAAAACAUAUUUAAUAUGGGAAAUCGGCAUGACCUUCUCUUCAGAUUUUGUCAAGAAACAAACGAAUCAUUAUCGAAGCUUAUUAUUAGCAUGACACUUUCCAACGGUUCUGCAUUUUUAUUACAGUAAUCUGGAAAAUGUAUAGGCAGGUAAAUUAAAAUUGUACAACUUCCGCGGUGUUGUUUGAGAGUAGGUUUAAGCAAGAUUGCCUUUCAACAUGCUUCCUCUUGCAGGAUCUUUAUGAUGGCACAUUAACAGCUUUUUGUGAAACAUACAUCGAUAAACUUUCUUAUCUCCAGUUUGAUUGAAAUGCGUUCAGGGUUUUUAUUUUUGCCUUUACACUAAAGAUGCACCGAUACCAGUAUCGGCAGAGGGUGCGAUCCAGCCCGAAAUGGUGAUAUCAGUAUCGGCGAGUACCUACAAACAGGGCGCCGAUACCAUAUACCGGUCCAGUAACACUAAAUGCAGCCUUUUUCUCCUGAUACCCACUAAACUCUGUGUUGUGUGAUCACACGAUUGCUUUGCAUGCCAAACAGCGAUCGUUAUUGACCUGCUGCAGACCAAUGAGAGCGGGCCAAUAGUUGCUCUCAACCAAUGCCGGGGCAGCUUUUUCAUAUGGAGGAAAAACUAAGAGUAGGAGAUGAAAAUGUUGGCUGUUUUGGAAUAUUUCCACGUCGAGUACAAUGGCUGGGGAUGGAUUGCAGCAACAAACCCUGGGCAGUGGGACAAGAUGAGUGAAGCAGCAAUACAGAUGUCCGAAAAAAUCACCGAAAUGACUUGUCUGUAACCUGCCUGUCGCCUUCGUUGAAAGCGUGGGAAUCCUGCUUUUCAUGGCUCACGCAGUAUCUAAGUAUAAGGUUCAUAGGCGCAAAUACAUUAAGGAGACGACUAUCCUGUACUAAAAAAUAAAGUAACAAAACAUGUUUUAGAAAAGCUGAAGAAGGCAGGGGCCAAUAGCUUUUCAAUAGAUGUCUGGAGCUGCCUAGUCUCCCAACUUUCGCUGUUUAGCUUGACAGCCGACUAGAAAGCGUAGUACUUCAUGCGAAUAAAUUGUUGCUCAAUUGGAGCAUCCCAUGCUGUUAUCAAUUAUUAUUUUUAUUAUUACUUAUAAUUUCAUGAAAGUUCCACUGUUUGGCCUUUGAGAGGUUUAAAAAUGUUUCUUCAGUUUCUUCAGAGUUUAUUAUUAUGAAUGUAUUUUCACUUUCUCACUGUUGGGCUAGUAUUAUACAUGUUUUAAUUUAACAAAUUUAGCACUAUUUUGGCCUUUGAGAGCCAAAGGUUUAUUCAACUAUUGUCACCCAUACCAGGUAUGCAAUAAAAAGUUCUACUGUAUUCACUUAGUAUUAGUCUUUUUCCUAUUUCGCAAAGGUAAGUGGAAGCCUGAAAAAGCCAUGAUAGCAGUGAUU